UAGGGAAUCUUGCGCAAUGGACGAAAGUCUGACGCAGCGACGCCGCGUGAGCGAUGAAGGCCUUCGGGUUGUAAAGCUCUGUGGGGAGGGAAGAAUAAGGGCAAGCUAAUACCUUGUCUGAUGACGGUACCUCCUUAGCAAGCACCGGCUAACUCUGUGCCAGCAGCCGCGGUAAGACAGAGGGUGCAAACGUUGUUCGGAAUUACUGGGCGUAAAGCGUGCGCAGGCGGCCUUGCAAGUCGGGCGUGAAAUCCCACGGCUCAACCGUGGAAGUGCACUCGAAACUGCUUGGCUAGAGUCUUGGAGAGGAAGGCGGAAUGCUUGGUGUAGAGGUGAAAUUCGUAGAUAUCAAGCGGAACACCGGUGGCGAAGGCGGCCUUCUGGACAAUGACUGACGCUAAAACACGAAAGCGUGGGGAGCAAACAGG
rnacentral:rRNA from 1 species